rnacentral:rRNA from 1 species
AACGGAACUUCGGGUUUAGUGGCGGACGGGUGAGUAACGCGUGAGAAUCUGCCUCUAGGUCGGGGACAACAACUGGAAACGGUUGCUAAUACCCGAUGUGCAGCAAUGUGAAAGAUUUAUUGCCUAGAGAUGAGCUCGCGUCUGAUUAGCUAGUAGGUGUGGUAAUGGCGCACCUAGGCGACGAUCAGUAACUGGUCUGAGAGGAUGACCAGUCACACUGGGACUGAGACACGGCCCAGACUCCUACGGGAGGCAGCAGUGGGGAAUUUUCCGCAAUGGGCGAAAGCCUGACGGAGCAAUACCGCGUGAGGGACGAAGGCUUUUGGGUCGUAAACCUCUUUUCCCUGAGAAGAAGAUCUGACGGUAUCAGGGGAAUCAGCAUCGGCUAACUUCGUGCCAGCAGCCGCGGUAAUACGAGGGAUGCAAGCGUUAUCCGGAAUUAUUGGGCGUAAAGCGUCCGCAGGUGGCUCUGUAAGUCUGUCGUUAAAGAAUGGGGCUC